UUCAUCUUCACCCAACCUUAUCUCCAUUUCACACGCCAUUUUACUUACCCACAAAACCAUCUCCUUGUCUAUUUUCACACGUGAAAGAAAUAGCCAAUAUUUUUAUCCAAAAAUUAAGGAAAAUCGGAUGACUAAAGCAUUACCUCAGGCGUGAUUGAAGCAAAGGAAAAACAACUGUCCGUCAAGCUAAUUGCUCCGACGACAGUUGCGGCUCAAAUUCCGGCCCACCAAGUUUUGUCUCUGCGAAGCGUGGAGCUUCGUGAGGUCUCCGCACAGUUGCCUCCGGGCAUCGUGGAUCUCGACUUCGACUCAGAAUGUAAUCUUUGGUGUAUUGUUCUGUUGGUGUUCCUCCUACUGCCGGCCCUAGGGCAUGAAAAAAAGGUGGAAAAUUUAUAAUAUUGGAAUUGAUCUCUAGCAACAUUGAUCGCAUCUUCCUCUCCUAAUCAAUCAGAAAUAGUGAGAACUCUUGAUAUCUCUCAAUUCGAAAAUCCAGGAUUUGACCUCUUCUUUGUUGUUCCAGUCAAUCUCAAACAAUCCAGGCGAUGAUAGGGCAGGCUCGCCAUUUUUAUUUACCCGGAGUAAGAUCAGUUGAGCAAGUAGGAAUGACAGGGGAUAGCCCAAUUUUUUAUCUCCUAACUGUGUUUCUACUUCUUCUUAUAGUUUAUUCACUUCUCAUUUUGUGUUGAUUUUACUUUUUUACUGCUUCAUAGAUUGUGCACUUCUAAUAAUGUUUGGUGUGCUAGCUAAUGAUUUUCAACAAAUUACAAAUUAAACUUAUAAUGAAUGUUUGGAUGGAACAAGCGAAUCAUGAAGUAAAGUUGUUCGAUGAAAUGCCUCAGUAAAGCAAUAACGUUAUAACAAAUUUUAACAUUGUCUAUUUAGUUUCCAGGUGGAGAGUUCUACAUGGCGUGGCUAGUUAUUGUACUCUGGAUGCAAAAUUUGUCGUGAAUUCUUCCAUGAUGCCAAAGCUACAUUCUUAAAUGAUGGAAUGGUUUUCCGAUAGAGAAACGUCUUGCUGGUUAUUGCGGAGAGUCUGGGGCCACCCUGCUCUCACACUUCAUUCUCCAAUUCACCAAGUUUCCGCAGUCAUUUACUCUAUUCCACGGGUAAAGUUUAUUUCUUAUAUUUUUAUCUAUCAUUUUGAGGGGUUGAGAUUGUGGGUUUUGGUUUUUUUUUGAGAUUUAUUGAAUCGAACACAUUUGUAAACUAAUGCCUCUAUCUUUGUUUGUGAAAAAAAGAAGAAUGUUAUUUUGGGGAUGGAAUUUCACGAAUUGAGAUUUUGUUCAUGCCAAGCAAUUUAUUUCCUUACUUUGCAUCUAUAUAGAAUUUUCAAUUUCCCUGUAUAUUAAUUGAAUAGGUGUAUGCUUAUUAGGAAGAGAUAUGCAAGUAACGUGCAAGGAAUUUGAUAUCUUUUGGUAAAACCAUUGCUUUGUAAAGAGUUCAUCCCCUGCUAAAUCUGUGUGGGUUUAGGGGUUUUCCUUUUAAAAGGCAUGCUAAUGCUUUUGGGUUUUUGACAGUUGGAAUAGUGGUUCUUCACAAGUUCAAUUGAGACUCAUUAGUUUUUGUCUAGCAAAUCAUCCUUUGUGAGACCUUAGCAAAUAUCAAUUUUUAUACUUUGCCACAAAACAUCUUCCUCAAUAAAAGCACUCAACAAGUAUAUUGUUUUCUUAAUUUUGCCUUUGUUCUUAGUUCUUAAUACUAAAUAAAGAGCUCAUGGAGAGUUAAUGAGUUGAGUUUGUGGCCAAAAUUGAUUAAAUAGAACUAAUAUCCAAUCGCAAUCUUUAAUGGUGGAAUAUUGACGUCUCGCUAAAAUAGACUUUCUCAAGAUCUAGCAAGUAGGAAAAGGAAAAGGACAAGAAAUUAGUGUUAGAAUACUCAAUUUCCUAAAUCUUCCAUUUAAACCUUACUUGAUUAUUAGAAGUUUCUUGUCAUCUUCUCAUUAGCCCUAUCAGCCCCAACAACGAAGAGGAAAAGGAAAACAGAACAACAGUUCUAUUGUUUGCUACAUGCUAUGUUCUUGGUUCUAUUUCAUAGCAUUUGAUAGUGCCAUUUUAGUUAAGUUUUACAUGAUGACAUUAGUCACAGAUAUUGUUUCAUCUUCAUUUGAGGCAACCAAAGUUCAAGUAGCAAUUGAAGACGAGCCAUUUUUUGGAUGAAAAUUAUUUUUGAGUGAGAGAAAAAUAUGAAAUUGGAAUUACAUUUUUAAUUUUUUAUCUAUAAACUCUUAUUGUUAUACUUCAAAAAUCUUGUAUCCAGUACUAGUUUCUAUAUUUGAUCUGAAGGUUUUACCAAUAAUAAUAGCUAUGAUUGUAAUUAUUAUUAGCAUAAUGAUGUUGAUAUUCAUAGAUAAGAUCUAAGAUUCUUGUCAUCAAUUGGAAAGUUAAAGAUUUGACCAAUUUUGUGAGUAUUUGUAAUCUCUAUUUCAUCUUCUGGUACAGGUAAUUGAUAUUGUUGUUAUUUUCACUUCUCAUGAUAACAAUCUCAAGCAACACUCUAUUCCAUUUUAGGUAUAGUUCAGAGCUUAAUGUUCUCUAGAUUCAAGCGCCCGGGUAACACUGAUCAAGGAUAAGAAGAAAGAUGGGAAUUUGUUACUGUUUUCUGGCAAUGAAGCAUAAGAAGGAAAUUUGUAGAGACAAUUCAUAUCCUAUCAUUUAUAUUUUUCCAAACAAUUUGACUUGAUGGAGGGUACAUCGUCUAGAAAUGAAUAAGCAGGUGUGGAAUGUGUAAACAAUGGAGAUUUCGUAUUUGAGAAGCCCUUUUUAUAUAAUCCCAAUGUUAAAUCCUUGCCUAUUUAAUUGUAUUCCUAAUAUUUCUAUGGCAAGUUUGGAAGGAAUUGGUUGUUGUUAGAUUGGCUACUUCUUUAAGAAUGCAUAUCCGUUCGACAAUUACCAUACAUAUAUAUUUAACAUUCAGCAACUAACAUGUAACGCACGUUUUCCUCA